rnacentral:rRNA from 1 species
UUUGAUAGUACCUUACUACUUGGAUAACCGYGGKAAUUCUAGAGCUAAUACAUGCUAAAAUCCCGACUUCSGAAGGGAUGUAUUUAUUAKAUUAAAAACCAAUGCCCUCCGGGGCUCACUGGUGAUUCAUGAUAACCCUCGAAUCGCAUGGCCUUGCGCCGGCGAUGGUUCAUUCAAAUUUCUUCCCUAUCAACUUUCGAUGUUUGGGUAUUGGSAAACAUGGUUGCAACGGGUAACGGAGGGUUAGGGCUCGACCCCGGASAAGGAGCCUGAKAAACGGCUACUACAUCSAAGAAGGCAGCAGGYGCGCAAAUUACCCAAUCCCGACUCGGGGAGGUAGUGACAAUAAAUACUGAUACAGGGCUCUUUUGGGCUUGUAAUUGGAAUGAGUACAAUUUAAAUCCCUUAACGAGGAACAAUUGGAGGGCAAGUCUGGUGCCAGCAGCCGCGGUAUUCCAGCUCCAAUAGCGUAUAUUAAAGUUGUUGUGGUUAAAAAGCUCGUAGUUGAACCUUGGGCCUGGCUGGCCGGUCGCCUCACCGCGUGUACUGGUCCGGCCGGGCCUUUCCCUCUGUGGAACCCCAUGMCCUUCACUGGGUGUGGCGGGGAAACGGACUUUUACUGUGAAAAAAUUAGAGUGCUCCAGGCAGGCCUAUGCUCGAAUACAUUAKCAUGGAAUAAUAGAAUAGGAGUGUGGUUCUAUUUUGUUGGUUUCUAGGACCGCCKUAAUGAUUAAUAGGGACAGUCGGGGGCAUCAGUAUUCAAUUGUCGAGGUGAAAUUCUUGGAUUUAUUGAAGACUAACUACUGCGAAAGCAUUUGCCAAGGAUGUUUUCAUUAAUCASGAACGAAGUUAGGGGAUCGAAGACGAUCAGAUACCGUCGUAGUCUUAACCAUA